rnacentral:rRNA from 1 species
UACGUAGGGGCCGAGCGUUGUCCGGAGUUAUUGGGCGUAAAGAGCGUGUAGGCGGCCAGGUAGGUCUGCUGUGAAAACUCGAGGCUUAACCUCGAGAUGUCGGCGGAAACCAUCUGGCUAGAGUCCGGAAGAGGAGAAUGGAAUUCCCGGUGUAGCGGUGAAAUGCGCAGAUAUCGGGAAGAACACCCGUGGCGAAGGCGGUUCUCUGGGACGGUACUGACGCUGAGACGCGAAAGCGUGGGGAGCGAACAGG